AUUGAACGCUGGCGGAAUGCUUUACACAUGCAAGUCGAACGAUGAACCUUAGCUUGCUAAGGGGUUUAGUGGCGAACGGGUGAGUAAUAUAUCGGAACGUGCCUUGUCAUGGGGGAUAACUAGUCGAAAGAUUAGCUAAUACCGCAUACGCCCUGAGGGGGAAAGUAGGGGAUCUUUGGACCUUACGUUAUUAGAGCGGCCGGUAUCUGAUUAGCUAGUUGGUGGGGUAAUGGCCUACCAAGGCGACGAUCAGUAGCUGGUCUGAGAGGACGACCAGCCACACUGGAACUGAGACACGGUCCAGACUCCUACGGGAGGCAGCAGUGGGGAAUUUUGGACAAUGGGCGCAAGCCUGAUCCAGCCAUUCCGCGUGAGUGAAGAAGGCCUUCGGGUUGUAAAGCUCUUUCGCAAGGGAAGAAAAAUUGCCAUCGAAUAAAUGGUGAGGCUGACGGUACCUAGACAAGAAGCACCGGCUAACUACGUG
rnacentral:rRNA from 1 species